rnacentral:ncRNA from 1 species
AAAUUUUUAUGUUUUAAAAAAUUUAUUAUGAAUUUAUUUUACAUAUAAAUUUUAGUAUGAAAUUUUAAUUAUUUAAAUAAUAUUAAUGAAAAUUAUAGUAAUUGAAAUUAAAAAUUUAAGAAAUUAAGAUUUAGUAAUAUAAAAAUUAAUAACUAAUUUUGUGCCAGCAGUUGCGGUUAUACAAAAAUUAAAUUAAAUUAUUUCAGUAUUUAAUAAAUAAAAUAAAAUUAAAAUAAAUAUUAAAUUAUUAGGUAAAAUUUUAAUUUAAUUAAAUUUUAGGUUAAUUUUAUGAUUUAAUAAAUUUAGUAAUAAACUAGGAUUAGAUACCCUAUUAUUAAAAAUUUAAUUUAAAAUACUAAAAUAGUAGAUAAUAAAUAUUGAAACUUAAAUAAUAUGGCGGUAUUUUAGUUCAUUUAGAGGAAUCUGUUUAAUAAUUGAUAAUCCACGAAUAAAUUUACUUAAUUUAAUAUUUUAUAUAUCGUUGUUAAAAAAAUAUUUUAUAAUAAGAAUAAUAUUUAAAAAUUUUAAAAAUAAAUUAAUUCAGAUCAAGAUGUAGAUUAUAAUUAAGAAUAUGAUGGAUUACAAUAAAAUAAUUUAUAGCGGAUAAUUUAAUUUUAAUAUUAAUUUAAAGAUGGAUUUAAAUGUAAUUUUAAUUAAUUUAUUAAAGUGAUUAAAAAUUGAAAUAUGUACAUAUUGCCCGUCACUUUCAUUUAAAAAUUGAAAUAAGUCGUAACAAAGUAGAAGUACUGGAAAGUGUUUCUAGAAUGAA